GCAGUCGAGCGAACAGAUAAGGAGCUUGCUCCUUUGACGUUAGCGGCGGACGGGUGAGUAACACGUGGGUAACCUACCUAUAAGACUGGAAUAACUCCGGGAAACCGGGGCUAAUGCCGGAUAACAUAUAGAACCGCAUGGUUCUAUAGUGAAAGAUGGUUUUGCUAUCACUUAUAGAUGGACCCGCGCCGUAUUAGCUAGUUGGUAAGGUAAUGGCUUACCAAGGCGACGAUACGUAGCCGACCUGAGAGGGUGAUCGGCCACACUGGAACUGAGACACGGUCCAGACUCCUACGGGAGGCAGCAGUAGGGAAUCUUCCGCAAUGGGCGAAAGCCUGACGGAGCAACGCCGCGUGAGUGAUGAAGGGUUUCGGCUCGUAAAACUCUGUUAUUAGGGAAGAACAUAUGUGUAAGUAACUGUGCACAUCUUGACGGUACCUAAUCAGAAAGCCACGGCUAACUACGUGCCAGCAGCCGCGGUAAUACGUAGGUGGCAAGCGUUAUCCGGAAUUAUUGGGCGUAAAGCGCGCGUAGGCGGUUUCUUAAGUCUGAUGUGAAAGCCCACGGCUCAACCGUGGAGGGUCAUUGGAAACUGGGAAACUUGAGUGCAGAAGAGGAAAGUGGAAUUCCAUGUGUAGCGGUGAAAUGCGCAGAGAUAUGGAGGAACACCAGUGGCGAAGGCGACUUUCUGGUCUGUAACUGACGCUGAUGUGCGAAAGCGUGGGGAUCAAACAGGAUUAGAUACCCUGGUAGUCCACGCCGUAAACGAUGAGUGCUAAGUGUUAGGGGGUUUCCGCCCCUUAGUGCUGCAGCUAACGCAUUAAGCA
rnacentral:rRNA from 1 species